GCUGGUGCUCAGCAGGUAGAGCACUUGCCUCAUAUGCACAAGACCUUGGGUUCAACCCCCAGUACCAGCG
rnacentral:tRNA from 1 species